GUGGUCUCCGGCUUGUGAAGCUGCGUUUCAGGCACUGAAACAGGCUCUUGUGAAUGCCCCUGUCUUGGCUGCCCCAGUCCCUAACAAACGCUUUCUCGUCCAUACAGAUGCUUCCAUGUGCUGAGCCAAGUCGGGAAAGAUGGAGGAGAGCACCCUGUCGCAUAUCUCAGCCGAAAGUUUUUACCCAGAGAAGUGAGUUAUGCGGCAGUGGAGAAGGAGUGCUUGGCCUUGGUCUGGGCAUUGAAAAAGUUAAGUCCUUACUUGUAUGGGCAAGAGUUUUCCCUUGUGACUGAUCAUAACCCACUCGUCUGGCUUAACCGGGUCUCAGGGGACAAUGGUAGACUGCUGAGAUGAAGCUUGGCACUACAGCCCUACAAUUUCACUAUCAGCUACCGACCCGGUAAGCAAAACGGGAAUGCGGAUGGGUUAUCCCGGCAAACUGACGUCUCCACCACCUCC